rnacentral:misc_RNA from 1 species
GAUGAAGAACGUAGUGAAAUGCGAUAAGUAAUGUGAAUUGCAGAAUUCAGUGAAUCAUCGAAUCUUUGAACGCACAUUGCGCCCGCCAGUAUUCUGGCGGGCAUGCCUGUUCGAGCGUCAUUACAACCCUCAGGCCCCCGGGCCUGGCGUUGGGGAUCGGCGGAGCCCCCCGUGGGCACACGCCGUCCCCCAAAUGCAGUGGCGGUCCCGCCGCAGCUUCCAUCGCGUAGUAGCUAACACCUCGCGACUGGAGAGCGGCGCGGCCACGCCGUAAAACACCCACCUCUUCUGAAGUUGACCUCGAAUCAGGUAGGAAUACCCGCUGAACUUAAGCAUAUCAAUAAGCGGAGGA